rnacentral:lncRNA from 1 species
UAUACAAGAGUAUACACAUGUACCUAGUGCAUCUUUUCUUGUACGCUUUAAAUAUCUUUGGAAUAUAUGGAUAUUCCAGCGGAAUGGUGGUCUGGAUGAUGGCGACGGAGGUGGUAGUGGUGGUAGCAGUGGGGUGGUGAUGAGAAAUUAUGGUUGUACUAUGUUUGUGUGUCCUGAAUACAAAGGCAAAACAAUCAUUCUUGAAAUGAAAUUUAACCAAACUUGUGACCAAAUAAGCACCAAUAGAGUCUAAUUUUAAGCUACAUGUUACUCCAAAUCCAUUCUCCAACUUAAAGGAGAUGAAUUUUGAUAGAAAUUAUGGUUGUAGUAUGUUUGUGUGUUCACUAUAUAUUAUAAAAUCAGGAUUCUGCUACACAUUUAGUGGAUAUUUGUUUGGUUUCUAACUAUGCAAGGCGUUUGAUUAACAACCAAUAAGCCUCGGACAUACCAAAAGAAUACUUAAUUAGAGUGUCAUAAGCCAAAGUUCCUAAAAUUUGUAGUUGUCUUCUCCAUGCUUCAAAAAACUACCUAAAGAGUUUAGCUUUACCACAUCUAUCUUAAAAAGAAAUUUAAGGACCAAUGUUUAGACUUGUGAUUUCAAACCUCAUUCUUCCAGGAACCCAAAUCCAUUGCCAUAUCAAACAAGCUGUUAGUGACAUGGCAUUGGAAUUCAAGAAAAGAAGCCCCCUUGGUUUUCUGCUUCUGAAAAAUAAAAGUUCAUUGGAUCUCUGGAAGUCAAAGGAAUUCCCCUUCAACUAGAAAACUGAAAAAAAUGUUUAAUCUUAGUGAAACUCCUAGUGAUCUUUUAAAUUAUAUAUUAAGUAAUACACAAAGCCAUGCGCUUAAAGCAUUUCACAAUGCUUCGAUAAUUUAAUAUUACUACGCUACACAUCCUUAUUUCACACAUGCAGUCGAUGAUCAGAAACAAUAACAAAGUAUUGUUUCACUAAAAUUCUCUCAAUGAAGGCAAAUUUCAAUAUUUCAGAUUAGGUAAUAACAGAUACAUUUGCACAAAAAACUCAGUAUGAAACAUAUAGAACCAUUCGCUAAAACCACUUGUGUAGCUUAAAAGCAUCUUUCUAUUACAACUACUAGAACUUCCUCAAAAAAAUCCAAAUAACAAUUUAAUCAAAACUUACUUUGUUUUGCAUGGGGAAAUUGAUGAAAUUGUGAUCGAUCGGUAUAAAAGUAUCUUUCUAUUACAACUACUAUAACUUCCACAAAUUUUCAUGUCUUCCUGCAAAAAUGUGUGUCUUCAAGAAGUGCGUUUGUAAAACCUAAAACCGAUCGGCACAAAUAUGUCAUUCUGUUCGGUAAUACCUAAAACGGUUCUACACAAAACAUCAAAAUAAUCGUCGUAAAAUAGGUAAUCGGGAAUUGUAGACACAGAAUGAUGAAAAAACCUUAUCUGUUGAAGGAAUAGAACAUGUGAAGUGUGAGCUUGGAAUCCGUAGCCGGAUUUGAAACCUCGAUCCAGUAAACCCACAGUACUAUUUUCACAUCCAACCCCGAUUUUCCCCUUCUGCCAAAACAACACUCAGUUUUUCCAGCGUUUCAUCAGAACCAAACAUUUCCCAGAAAUAUUCCGGCAAAGUUAUGAAGGAGGGUACCGAAGAAGACCGGUUCGUCUGUGGCCGGGGCGUUAGGCAGGACGCGAAGAACCAAAGGAGUGUCGAUGUAGGAAAGAAGAUGCCGAAUCACCGGUGAGAUGGGGGAGGGGUAAAUCGGUAAUAAUAGAAAGUAUGAUAAAAUUAU